CCCGAGUCCUAAUCUCCUCGCGGCAGCCCCGCGGCUGGGGGGCGGGGUGCCUGGUUCCCGACCGCUCUAGGCUCCAGCCUGGGGGCGGAAAGAGGGAUCCUGGAGGUUUUCAAGAGGAGGCAUGAGCAGCUCCUAAGCCGAGAGAUAGUUUGCCCUUCAAUUCUGGACACCCAAAAGAAGCUUAUCUUGCAGAACAAGAUUUCUCCACAUCGUAGAGAUUGUGUGGGAACGUGAACCAAAGCCCUUAGGAUUGGACCAGGAAAUCCAAAAUCCAACAAGUCCAAAGGGCAAAGGUGAGCCCCAAAGUGGAAGGAGAAUGGCAAGAUCCAGGGACUUGGCAUACAUGCAAGAGAAACAGAGCAAGAUGAGAGGCAAAGGAGAAUGUGCCCUCAAAAUUUCAGUUAGGUGUCUAUGGCUUGAUGCAUAUCACAUCGACGAACUGGGCUGGCUCAAAGGUACUGGGUUGGGACUGAAACCAAACCUGUUCUAGCAAGCUUUUGAGAAAGAAACAGGGAUCUGCUAGGGGCACUGUCUAUACUCAACCCUUUCAUCAUUGUAGCUGGGGAAACAGACUCAUCAGCACCAUAUGGAUUCACUUUUUCUCCCUGACUGAUGGUUCCUUUGCUUCCCACACAGGCUAAUUUAGACUGGAAAGAAUCUAUAAUGUGGGAGGUCUUUAUUACUAAAAAUUAGAUCCAAUAAAAUGCAGAUGUCCUGACGGUAUCCACAAACAAGCUGUCUUUGAAUAAAUAACCAACUGGAGUAAAUGUAUUUAUGCAUCUAUAUUAGAACAACUGGCAGAUUUAAAACUGAAGAUCUGUUUAAGAUCACAAUUAAGGAAAAUACAA